rnacentral:lncRNA from 1 species
CCUUCUUGAUGGAAAAGAGCACUACAGAAACAGUAUCUGAGAUCAGGGCAAAUUCCCCUAACAAACUUACAGCAGGGAUCACAGAAUUCUGGCCACAGAAUUCCAUGUAAUUUGCUUUUACUCUCUCCAUAUGUUAAUAUUUUAGAAAACUAGCCUUGGGUGGUGUCCUCUAUUGGCCAAUCCAGCCUGACUACUCAAAAUAAAAACCAAAGCACCUCCCUCCUUUAAGGAAGCAGUUCUCAGGACUCAGUGCUUCUGCUGUGUGGUCACAGCACAUUUAACAAUAUCAAAAUUAAAAAGGUAAGCAGCAUAACACAAAAUUAGUAACAUGCAUACCCUGUCCAAUCACAAAGUAGUGAUUUAGCUAUGUUCUCUAUGUCAGGAACACCUCCUUUUUUCAGCAUACCCCUUUUCUGAGCAAGUAAGCUUAAAAGCUCUUCAGUGUUCUUGAAAUCUGGGAUACUGUAGAACAUCAUUACCUGCUGCUUAUUGCAGUGACUCAGAACAGCAUCCACUGCUUUAACCAUGUUCACUGAGCACGAUUCCCCAGUGUGUAUGAUACUUCUCAGUGCCAGAGUCACAGCACUGUUGGUAGGAUCUGCAACUAUGCUUGGACUGUCUAAAAUCUUCAUCUGUUUAUCAAUACGCACAGCUUGCAUGGACUUGGUGACACCCCUGGCUGGCCCAACAUCACAAACACGAUCUUUCUUAAUACUAUUGAUUAUGCUGCUCUUCCCCACGUUAGGAAAACCUACUAACCCAACCUGAAUGGCUCUGUCCUGAGUCCUGCCAUACUCCUGAAGAAGUUUCACAAGGCAUUCACUUCCAAAACUUUCAGUGUGUCUUGAUAAAUCAAUACGUGCCCUUCUUCUCGAGAAAGUCUGCAUAUUCCUGUCCUUCAGCAGCGUUGCUGAUUUAAAGGCAACUGUUGGAAAUUCCUUCUUCAAAUAAUUCAACCACUUCUCUAAGUUCUCCUUUGGCACUAAAUCAAUUUUGUUCAGAACCAACAAUAGCUUUUUUUCUCCUCCAGAGCAAGUAAUAGCUUGCUCCAGCUGGGGACACCGACAGCCCAUCGGAUCUCUUGCGUCUAAAACCUCCAGAACCACAUCUGAGGCCUCAAUCACUUUCUCAAGCUCACUGUGAAAUGAUUUCUUUGCAUUUUUAUCCAGCGCUUUCUUGGUCUUCUUUGCUUCAGAUUUGCCAGAGGAUUCCUUCCCCUCAGUCUGCUCCUGGAUCGCAGCCGCGCUCCUCUUGGCAUCGAGCUUCCUCCUCUUCUCGAGUUCUUUCUGCCUAUCGAGCUUCUGCUUCCGCUUCAGUUCUUCGAGCCGCUGCUUCCUCAGCUCGGCCUCCCUCAGCAGUGCUUCCUUGAACGGCGCCGCUCCAGGCACGCCGGGGUCCUUGCGGGGCUUCUUGCGGCCGCGCUUCUUGGCCUCCUUCCGGACCUUGCGGUGGUGCUCCCGGAUCUUCUUCUGGAUCUUGUACCGCUUGUGGCACGUCAGCCGCUUGCUCGCCUUCCUCAGCUUCGGCCGCUUCAUGGCGCCGCCGCCGUCGCCGUCGCGCACGCGGAGCCGCCCGCCCGCCC